UUUAAAAAGUGCGUAAUAGCUUACUGGUCGAGCAGUUUUGCGCCGAAAAUGAACGGGACUCAAGCAUAUUACCGAAACAGCGGAUUUCCAGGACAAGGGUGCCUGGGAGUGGUAGGGGAGCGUUGUAUUCUAGGUCGAAGCGGUACCGCAAGGAGCCGUGGACGAAAUACAAGUGAGAAUGCCGGGACGAGUAGCGAUAAAGUAAGUGAGAAUCUUACUCGCCGUAAGCCUAAGGUUUCCUG
rnacentral:rRNA from 1 species